UACGAAGGGGGCUAGCGUUGCUCGGAAUCACUGGGCGUAAAGCGCACGUCGGCGGCUUUGUAAGUUAGAGGUGAAAGCCCGGAGCUCAACUCCGGAACUGCCUUUAAGACUGCAUCGCUUGAAUCCAGGAGAGGUGAGUGGAAUUCCGAGUGUAGAGGUGAAAUUCGUAGAUAUUCGGAAGAACACCAGUGGCGAAGGCGGCUCACUGGACUGGUAUUGACGCUGAGGUGCGAAAGCGUGGGGAGCAAACAGG
rnacentral:rRNA from 1 species